rnacentral:rRNA from 1 species
AACGAACGCUGGCGGCAUGCCUAACACAUGCAAGUCGAACGAGACCUUCGGGUCGAGUGGCGCACGGGUGCGUAACGCGUGGGAACCUGCCCUUAGGUUCGGAAUAACUCCCCGAAAGGGGUGCUAAUACCGGAUAAUGUCUUCGGACCAACGAUUUAUCGCCUUUGGAUGGGCCCGCGUUGGAUUAGCUAGUUGGUAGGGUAAAAGCCUACCAAGGCGACGAUCCAUAGCUGGUCUGAGAGGAGGAUCAGCCACACUGGGACUGAGACACGGCCCAGACUCCUACGGGAGGCAGCAGUGGGGAAUAUUGGACAAUGGGCGAAAGCCUGAUCCAGCAAGGCCGCGUGAGUGAUGAAGGCCUUAGGGUUGUAAAGCUCUUUUACCCGGGAUGAUAAUGACAGUACCGGGAGAAUAAGCUCCGGCUAACUCCGUG